rnacentral:rRNA from 1 species
GACGAACGCUGGCGGCGUGCUUAACACAUGCAAGUCGAACGGAAAGGCCCUGCUUUUGUGGGGUGCUCGAGUGGCGAACGGGUGAGUAACACGUGAGUAACCUGCCCUUGACUUUGGGAUAACUUCAGGAAACUGGGGCUAAUACCGGAUAGGAGCUCCUGCUGCAUGGUGGGGGUUGGAAAGUUUCGGCGGUUGGGGAUGGACUCGCGGCUUAUCAGCUUGUUGGUGGGGUAGUGGCUUACCAAGGCUUUGACGGGUAGCCGGCCUGAGAGGGUGAACGGCCACAUUGGGACUGAGAUACGGCCCAGACUCCUACGGGAGGCAGCAGUGGGGAAUAUUGCACAAUGGGCGGAAGCCUGAUGCAGCAACGCCGCGUGCGGGAUGACGGCCUUCGGGUUGUAAAACGCUUUCGCCUGUGACGAAGCGUGAGUGACGGUAAUGGGUAAAGAAGCACCGGCUAACUACGUG